UAUGGCCAUUUUCUGAACAAUCUCUCAGAUUUCCAUGUAAAAUUAGAAAGUUAGCAAUAUCUGAAUGUGUAGUAUCUCGAAUUUUCUUGACAACUCUAUGUGGACUACCGAAUCUGGAAGUGCUCAAAAUAGAGUAUUGUGUGUUUGAAACAUACGAAGUCGGAGAGGCAGAGGAAGAAGAGUGGGAGAUAACAGAAGGAGAUGAAUUCCGCUCGCUGCAAUUUCUGAGCCUCAGAUACUAUCAGCUAGAGGAAAUCCCUUGCGACAUUGGAGAUAUCCCAACCCUCCAAGAAAUUUUUGUACGUGAAUGUGGCGCAUCUGUAGUUGGCUCAGCACUUAACAUACAGAAGGUGCAGAAAGAGGAGUAUGACAACAACGACCUCAAAGUUCUCAUACAAGAUUAGAAGCCAAAAGCGACUUCUGCAGCUCGAAUAGUUUCAGCAACAAGCAAGAAUCACUCUUGGCUCGAGCUAAACGUAUGUACUGCAAUAAACGGUAAUACAUAUUUAUGAUUGUUAGACUUGGAUUUGGUAAUGUCUAGCUAUAUAUUGGUGUGCAGUUUUUCUAAUUUGAUAGCGAAUUGUUCCGUCUUUUUCAGCUGCUGCUGCUCUUACAUCGCUUGCAAUAUGCUGUUAAAUGUCUCGUGAUUGUAAUGUGUUUGUCACUCUUGGUAGAUAUGUGAUAGUAUCAAUGUAGCCAUUCAUUCAUGUUGAAAUUUGUAAAUGUUGAGACAUGUGAAGAUCGUUCAGUUUCUAUGGGUA